CCAUUUCAGCAGUGCACAUAUAAAGAAUGAAAUAAUACAGAGAAAAUAAACAUGGCAUAAGGAUAACACAAAAAUUUGUGAUACAUUCCAUAUUUUU
rnacentral:snRNA from 1 species